rnacentral:rRNA from 1 species
AUGGCAUGGGAAACGGGCAAUGUGGCAUCGAGGCACCCGAGCACCUGUGCGUACACGUGCAUGCAAAUGUGGCAUCAUGGUAGUAAUGCCAACGGCCCGCGUAGCACACUGGCCGUUAAAAACGCGUCGAGAGAUGAGCUUGAUGCCAUGCAUGCAACGGCUAGCGAUGGUCGGGUAUCUAGAAUAGCCAUAAUGCGACGAGGGUGCCAGGCGUGCUCUUUGGCAUUCAUGCAACGUCGAAUGAUGCGAGGGCAGGCGGCGCAGGGCUGUGCGCGCAUGCAUGCAUGCUUUUUAGGCCUGCUCAAAUCGAGUCAGUGUGGUGUCCAUAGGUCCAACGGGUGGGCCGCUUUAAUUAAGCCGAACAACACAUGGCACGCCUGCUCAAUCUUAUCCACCAUAAAAAAGGGCAAAAACGACCAGCCAAUGAAAGCGCAGCCCGCGGAUCUGUGA